rnacentral:rRNA from 1 species
AUCAAGCAAUAUCGGCCAAUAUGUUUAUAUUAUGUUUGUUAGAAAAUUGUGACUAAAGUACUGACAAAUAGGCUUGAGAGAGUUGCAGAUAAGGUGGUGAGUAAGAGUCAGACGGCAUUUAUGAAAAACGGAAAUAUUUUAGAUGGGGUGGUCACUAUCCAUGAGGUGUUUCAUGAGCUUAGGAGGACUAAACAAGAGGGGGUCAUACUAAAGCUAGACUUUGAAAAAGCAUAUGACAGGGUGAAUUGGGAUUUUCUACAAGAGGUUUCGCUUAAAAGGGUUUUCUUUAGUGAGAAGUGGAGAGGUUGGAUUAAACAAGUGGUAGAAGGAGGUGCAGUGAGUAUCAAUAUUAAUGGAGAGGUUGGCCCAUAUUUUAAGAGCUACAAAGGAUUUUUGCAGGGUGAUCUCACCUCUUCUUUUGAAUUUGGUGGUGGUCACAGAAAAGGGAAUAUCACGAAGGUAAGCACAUUCUAUUUUUCUUAA